rnacentral:rRNA from 1 species
AUUGAACGCUGGCGGCAGGCCUAACACAUGCAAGUCGAGCGGAUGAAGGGAGCUUUUUCCCGGAUUCAGCGGCGGACGGGCGAGUAAUGCCCAGGAAUCUACCUUGCCGUGGGGGAUAACGUCCGUAAACGAGCGCUAAUCCAGCACACGUCCUGAGGUAGAACGUCGGGGUUCUUCGGACAUCACCCUAUCAGCUGUGCCUAGGUCGGAUUAGCUAGUUGGUUGGGUAAAGGCCUACCAAGGCGACGAUCCGUAACAGGCCUGAGAGGAUGAUCAGUCACACUGGAACUGAGACACGGUCCAGACUCCUACGGGAGGCAGCAGUAGGGAAUAUUGGGCAAUGGGCGAAAGCCUGACGCAGCAAUGCCGCGUGAGUGAAGAAGGUCUUCGGAUUGUAAAGCUCUGUUAGUUGGGAGGAAGGAAAGUGAGUUAAACCCUUGAUGUUUUGACGGUACCAACAGAGAAAGCACCGGCUAACUACGUG